GGGGGUGCCAUAAGACUUGCUAACUCUUUAACCUGG
rnacentral:tRNA from 1 species